UACGUAGGGUGCGAGCGUUAAUCGGAAUUACUGGGCGUAAAGCGUGCGCAGGCGGUUCGUUAAGUCAGAUGUGAAAGCCCCGGGCUCAACCUGGGAACUGCAUUUGAAACUGGCGGGCUUGAGUGCGGCAGAGGGGGGUGGAAUUCCGCGUGUAGCAGUGAAAUGCGUAGAUAUCAGGAGGAACGCCGGCGGCGAAAGCGACUCUCUGGCCUGUAACUGACGCUGAGGCGCGAAAGCUAGGGGAGCAAACGGG
rnacentral:rRNA from 1 species